rnacentral:rRNA from 1 species
GAGUUUGAUCCUGGCUCAGAUUGAACGCUGGCGGCAUGCCUUACACAUGCAAGUCGAACGGUAACGCGGGGCAACCUGGCGACGAGUGGCGAACGGGUGAGUAACACAUCGGAACGUGCCCAGUAGUGGGGGAUAGCCCGGCGAAAGCCGGAUUAAUACCGCAUACGACCUACGGGUGAAAGCAGGGGAUCGCAAGACCUUGCGCUAUUGGAGCGGCCGAUGGCAGAUUAGGUAGUUGGUGGGGUAAAAGCCUACCAAGCCGACGAUCUGUAGCUGGUCUGAGAGGACGACCAGCCACACUGGGACUGAGACAC